UGAAGCAUUUUAUAACAUUUUCAUUGUUAUUUUUUAUGAUUUAUACAAACGAGCCUUUCAAAUUAUGAUCAGCUGCGUUUUCUGUCGUAAAGCUUGUAAAACGACAUCAGAACACGUAGAUAACGGGUUUAAAUCUGAACAAGCACCACGGAAUUUUUUGUAAAGAAAAAACGUCAGGAAACCUGCACGUGUUGGAUGAGAAUUUUCUACAUGAGUAUCAACUAAGCUGCAUUGGAACAGCGUGGUUAAAUAAACUCCAAGAUUUACCUCAAAAAGGAAAGGAGGCCUUAGCCCAGCAGUGGGAAUUAUGUCACCGGCUCCCACCGCAGCCUUUCCCCGGGGCCCGUGACGCUCUCAGGGAAACAUUUAAAAGACUGGGACCGAAAUAGCCCUAGAUCUAAUGUUGGCCUCAAAUUCAGACAAUAUAAUGAAACAAUAUUCAGUUACUUACAAUACAAGUUGUGGUGGUAUUUUUGUUUAAAAAAUUCUCAUAAUUGUCAGCAGUAAUAAGUUUUUUAAUUAACAUGUUUAACGGGGGUGCAUCAUAUGGUACCAUAAAUAACCAUCGAUCUGCCCUAUCAUUACUUCUUGGAAAUUACGUCGGAUCAGACUAGCGUAUUAAAUGCUUAUUAAAAGCUAUUUGCAGACAAAAGCCACCUCGUCCUAAAUACACAACAACAUGGAAUCCCAAGAUUUUGCUCGACCAUGUCUCGACUUAGUACCCUAUAAAUGAUCUAGACUUAACAAGGUUAACGAAAAAAUUGAAUAUUUUAUUAGCCGUAUGUACAUCUCACCGAGUCUAAACAUUAUCACUUAUCAAGGUCACCAACAUUAAUAAGACUUCCUCGGGUACCAAGAUCACAAUAUCUGACAUAAUAAAGACAUCAGCAGCUAGCCGUGACCAACCUGUACUAUUUUUACCUUAUUUUGUAUAUAAUAAUCCAAGCAUAUGCCCCGCAAAGACUUUGGAGGAUUACCUUCUAGCAUAAACAUCAAAGUUGUAGUUCUGUUCACUGUACAUAGUACUCGUCUAUACUGUACAUGCAUCCACCUCGGCGGCGGCCUCAGUACGAGUUUGCAUUCACACUAUAAAAAAGACAGCCAGACAGCUAAUCUUUGAAGUUUGCUCGGUUUUAUAA